UACGGAGGGGGCUAGCGUUGUUCGGAUUCAUUGGGCGUAAAGGGUGCGUAGGUGGCGCUGUAAGUCGGGUGUGAAAUUUCGGAGCUUAACUCCGAAACUGCAUUCGAUACUGCGGUGCUUGAGGACUGGAGAGGAGACUGGAAUUCAUGGUGUAGCAGUGAAAUGCGUAGAGAUCAUGAGGAAGACCAGUGGCGAAGGCGGGUCUCUGGACAGUUCCUGACACUGAGGCACGAAGGCCAGGGGAGCAAACGGG
rnacentral:rRNA from 1 species